GGUUCCCUCCGAAGUUUCCCUCAGGAUAGCUGGAGCCCAUUACGAGUUCUAUCAGGUAAAGCCAAUGAUUAGAGGCAUUGGGGACGCAACGUCCUCGACCUAUUCUCAAACUUUAAAUAGCGAGGAUGGCUCGGCUGCUUCGGUGAGCCGUGCCACGGAAUCGGGUGCUCCAAGUGGGCCAUUUUUGGUAAGCAGAACUGGCGAUGCGGGAUGAACCGGAAGCCGGGUUACGGUGCCCAACUGCGCGCUAACCUAGAACCCAC
rnacentral:ncRNA from 1 species